GCAUAGGUUCACGACUUGAGAUCGUAUCUGUUAACGAUCGCACUUGUGAGGCAAAUCAAGAGCAUGCUGCAGUUACUCCUACAAUGCAAAUUUCCAAUCAGGAGCUGGCUAAAAUUGUAAUGGAUGCACCUGCAGUUAUGAUAAUGAACACAACUACAAAGAUUAAUGCACCUCUAGUCACGCUGAAUAUUUCAGUCUUUGAGAUACCAUCCCAAUCGAUGGAGUCUUUUGGUGAACAUGCUGAUGAUUCUGGACUGCAGCUAAUCUCAAUGGGCAACAACCAACAGUCAAAUGCAGGUAUGAUCUCACUCUUUCAAGAAUCAACAAAUGAUAUAACAGGCUAUAAGGAGCAAAAAGGAGAGACGAGUGCACUGACAGCUAAUGAAAAGAUUUGGGCUGACCAAGUUGAGGAGGAGGAACACGAUUCUGCAUAAAUUUAUUUAGGUACUAUCGAAUAUGCAACAACACUGUUACCUGCCACCCCACGAUCAAAGGAAGCAUCAGAAAAGGUAAAACAAGAGCAGGUUUCUAUCUCAACAUCAACUGCUCCAGAGAGGAGAGGUUUGAGUCCAAACGCUGUUGUAUUUGUACCUUCGGGACAGCAACAUAAGACAAACAAUUCAGCAGAUUCAAAGGAGAUCCAAAUUUCAUCCACGAACAUGGCAGCAGCUACUGGAAUUAGCACUUCAAUAACUGCAACAUACAAUUUGACACUAACAAAUAUCAUCAAUGCUCUUGUUUCACAUGACAUGGAAACAUUGAGAGGUCUUGAUAAUCAUAGGAAAGAUCAAAUAGCACUAUCGAAUGAGUACAGACAUAUUGACGAUUUUGGGAUGCAUAUGGGUCAAGACUUUUAUGAAGAAGGAGAACAUGAUGCACUACUGGAUGCCACCUUCAACAUUAUAGCUAGGGAGGGAGAUCUUUCACCAAGACAUGUGCGAAGCGGAUCCAACAAAUACAAGAAGAAGGCACCAGACAUGCAACAUAGUUGGGACGACAAAGCAACACAAGAGAUUGUCAUUAGGAAACCUCCAAUGAGAAAUGCAAAGCAAAAGGCAGUUGUACCUACGACCUCUACAAGGUCAAAUAGGUCAAAGAGAAAAUAAUAAAGUUUGAAGAAUUUUUGAAGACACUGGAAGAGGAAGCCAAUGAGCUACAAAUUGUAGAGUUCACAAGGUUGAAGAAAGAGGGGCAAGACUCAAUUUUUUUACAUUGUUUUACUUUAUCACUUUUUAAGUAUCAUCAAUUGUAAUAUCAUCACAAAGUAUGUUAUAAACUCUGUGAUGAUCAUACAGUACCUAGUUCUUUCCAGUUCUUUUUUUCUUCAUGCUUGUUAGUAGAUGAGGUUUAUUAUGCCUCAAUAGGAUCUGUAAGGUAAGGUCUAGCACAGUAUGUGUGUGCUUAUAUGCUAUGCCUUUGGGAAGACCCAAGCAGCUGUAAGGUUAUAUGCCCUCGUGAGACUUGCCAGUAGCUACACCAUGAUCCUCUACACGAGGCUGCCAUCUUAAGGCAAUGAAGGGGCAGAGGAGUGAUUAUAUAGCCAAGGCAUAAAGACAACACUACUAUAAAAAUAAAAGUAAAACAUAUAUUUCACGGUAAGAUUGACCCAAAAAAAAAAAAGGAUUUCCACGGCAAAACAUUUAGCAUUCUUCAUUCUUGUAGUUUGGGGUUCAAAAAGUAAAAGUAAACACUUAUGUCCUUAAAAACAAAGUUAACUGAACACAAAAAUAUUGUACCACACAAUUGCGUACUCGCGAGCCCGAUCUCCAACUACUUCAAACUCAAAACAUGAGAUGAAAGAUCCAUUUGUUCUGCUUUUUUAAACGGUUGAUUCGUAGAAGUUUUAAAUAAGAAAAUAAAUGACUUUGGAACUAGGUUUUUGACUGAGCUUAGGAGGUCGUUUUGGGUGGAAGAAAGCAGUUGUUCUUUGGUGGUGUUUGGGUCAUUUUUGGACUGAUUUACAACUGUUUUUGGGGUGUGUUUAGUGGAUGUUUAAGCUGAAGUUUGGGGCAGUUUAGAGGGGAUUCAUGGCUAGUUUUAGAGGUGUUUCAAUGAAGGUUUUGAGGUGGAGUUUUUU
rnacentral:lncRNA from 1 species